rnacentral:rRNA from 1 species
GAUGAACGCUGGCGGCGUGCCUAAUACAUGCAAGUCGAGCGAACAGACGAGGAGCUUGCUCCUCUGACGUUAGCGGCGGACGGGUGAGUAACACGUGGAUAACCUACCUAUAAGACUGGGAUAACUUCGGGAAACCGGAGCUAAUACCGGAUAAUAUAUUGAACCGCAUGGUUCAAUAGUGAAAGACGGUUUUGCUGUCACUUAUAGAUGGAUCCGCGCCGCAUUAGCUAGUUGGUAAGGUAACGGCUUACCAAGGCAACGAUGCGUAGCCGACCUGAGAGGGUGGUCGGCCACAUUGGAACUGAGACACGGUCCAGACGCCUAAGGGAGGCAGCAGUAGGGAAUCUUCCGCAAUGGGCGAAAGCCUGACGGAGCAACGCCGCGUGAGUGAUGAAGGUCUUCGGAGCGUAAAACUCUGUUAUUAGGGAAGAACAAAUGUGUAAGUAACUAUGCACGUCUUGACGGUACCUAAUCAGAAAGCCACGGCUAACUACGUG